GCCUAAUACAUGCAAGUCGAACGAUGAAGCUUCUAGCUUGCUAGAAUGCUGAUUAGUGGCGCACGGGUGAGUAACGCAUAGGUUAUGUGCCUCUUAGUUUGGGAUAGCCAUUGGAAACGAUGAUUAAUACCAGAUACUCCCUACGGGGGAAAGAUUUAUCGCUAAGAGAUCAGCCUAUGUCCUAUCAGCUUGUUGGUAAGGUAAUGGCUUACCAAGGCUAUGACGGGUAUCCGGCCUGAGAGGGUGAACGGACACACUGGAACUGAGACACGGUCCAGACUCCUACGGGAGGCAGCAGUAGGGAAUAUUGCUCAAUGGGGGAAACCCUGAAGCAGCAACGCCGCGUGGAGGAUGAAGGUUUUAGGAUUGUAAACUCCUUUUGUUAGAGAAGAUAAUGACGGUAUCUAACGAAUAAGCACCGGCUAACUCCGUGCCAGCAGCCGCGGUAAUACGGAGGGUGCAAGCGUUACUCGGAAUCACUGGGCGUAAAGAGCGCGUAGGCGGGAUAGUCAGUCAGGUGUGAAAUCCUAUGGCUUAACCAUAGAACUGCAUUUGAAACUACUAUUCUAGAGUGUGGGAGAGGUAGGUGGAAUUCUUGGUGUAGGGGUAAAAUCCGUAGAGAUCAAGAGGAAUACUCAUUGCGAAGGCGACCUGCUGGAACAUUACUGACGCUGAUUGCGCGAAAGCGUGGGGAGCAAACAGGAUUAGAUACCCUGGUAGUCCACGCCCUAAACGAUGGAUGCUAGUUGUUGGAGGGCUUAGUCUCUCCAGUAAUGCAGCUAACGCAUUAAGCAUCCCGCCUGGGGAGUACGGUCGCAAGAUUAAAACUCAAAGGAAUAGACGGGGACCCGCACAAGCGGUGGAGCAUGUGGUUUAAUUCGAAGAUACACGAAGAACCUUACCUAGGCUUGACAUUGAGAGAAUCCGCUAGAAAUAGUGGAGUGUCUGGCUUGCUAGACCUUGAAAACAGGUGCUGCACGGCUGUCGUCAGCUCGUGUCGUGAGAUGUUGGGUUAAGUCCCGCAACGAGCGCAACCCCCUUUCUUAGUUGCUAACAGGUCAUGCUGAGAACUCUAAGGAUACUGCCUCCGUAAGGAGGAGGAAGGUGGGGACGACGUCAAGUCAUCAUGGCCCUUACGCCUAGGGCUACACACGUGCUACAAUGGGGUGCACAAAGAGAAGCAAUACUGCGAAGUGGAGCCAAUCUUCAAAACACCUCUCAGUUCGGAUUGUAGGCUGCAACUCGCCUGCAUGAAGCUGGAAUCGCUAGUAAUCGCAAAUCAGCCAUGUUGCGGUGAAUACGUUCCCGGGUCUUGUACUCACCGCCCGUCACACCAUGGGAGUUGUGUUUGCCUUAAGUCAGGAUGCUAAA
rnacentral:rRNA from 1 species